rnacentral:rRNA from 1 species
UUAUGGCUCAGGAUGAACGCUAGCUACAGGCUUAACACAUGCAAGUCGAGGGGCAGCAUUGGGAUAGCUUGCUAUUCAGAUGGCGACCGGCGCACGGGUGAGUAACGCGUAUCCAACCUUCCUGCCAGUAGGGAACAGCCCGGCGAAAGUCGGAUUAAUGCCCUAUGUUCUUCAAUGCGGACAUCUAAGUUGAAGGAAGAUUCAUCGCUGGCAGAUGGGGAUGCGUCCGAUUAGCUUGCCGGCGGGGUAACGGCCCACCGGGCGACGAUCGGUAGGGUUCUGAGAGGAAGGUCCCCCACACUGGUACUGAGACACGGACCAGACUCCUACGGGAGGCAGCAGUGAGGAAUAUUGGUCAAUGGGCGUAAGCCUGAACCAGCCAAGUAGCGUGCCAGGACGACGGCCCUACGGGUUGUAAACUGCUUUUAUGCGGGGAUAAAGUGCGGCACGUGUGCCGCUUUGCAGGUACCGCAUGAAUAAGGACCGGCUAAUUCCGUGCCAGCCGCCGC